CUCUCCAUGACUCGUGGGCUGCUCUGUGAUCAGCCAGCCUGUGAUCUUGCGCACUUGGAGAGAAUGUGGGGAUGUGGAUGAUAGCCCCAUCAAAAGAGGUGAUCUCAAACUGCAGCUAAGGCUAAAUGUAAAGACAUUCCCCUCUCAUGGCUAGGCUAAAAAAGUUGAGGGGUUGGGGGUGUUGAUAUUUUAUUGGAAAAAGUGAGUAGAGAGGUAUCGGCUUCAUCCUUUCAAUUUCUUUUACCCUUCUUAUGGAUUGGACCAAAACCCCAUUUUCGUUCUUUUUCUGCAUUUAGGGGCGGGGGAGGGAGAUAAUUUUUUUGUAGUGUCUGUCCACGUGAGACAUGUUUGUGCAUGUAUUAUAAGUGUAGGUAUAUAAUAUAUUGUGAUAUAUUUCGUCGCAAUUAUAGAAGAUAACCAGAAUGUUUUUGUAGAACCGUAUUUAUUGUUUCAGUCAGUAUAUUACCUGGAAUCGGACUCUAACUGGUCAAAUCUUACCACAAAGAUGGAGAUGUAGGGGGCACUUUAAAGAAAGGAAGAAAAAAACCCAAACCCAUGAACUUCUCAGCAGUUUGUGGUGGGUAAAUGGUGCAGAGCCAGAGGUGUUCUGCUAGUAACUGUACAUGGUCCAUUGAUUGAAAAGUACAGAUUCAACAUACCAAAACAUUCUGGUCAUAAUACUACUGAAAGUGAGUAUGCUCUGAGGAAAAAAGUAGAUUUUAUAUAUAGUGGGCUGGAGUGAAAUAUAUUUAUACUAUAGAGAGCCUCCCCCUCCUCCCAAAUAGUUUAAAAAUAUACAGUGCUACAAAUUCUUUCAAAGUUAUUUGUCCUUGCAGUUAAGUAGGAUAAAUAUAUGUUAUUCCAAAACAGUAUGCAUUCUAACUGAUGGUAGGCUCGAUCAUUUGUUUCUAUGGCUCAAGAUGAAUGAAUAUAUUUGUGUUAACCCCUUCUGAAAGCUGCCAGGACUCCUGCAGUCGAAAAUCCUGCCAACCCACAAGGCUGACCCACGCCGAUCCAUCACUUAUCCGUGUAGUUCUUUCCUUGAAUGAACAGUUUAAGGAACCAAAAGUGCCAUUUCAACAGCAGAAGGGCAAAAGAGAAAUUUUCUGCUUUUUACGGAAUAAGGCAUAGAACCAAAUUGUUUUGCUUCAGUGGUACCACUGCAGGCAACUUGUCUUUUAGGAGACUUUGGAACUGAAUCAACUGUUCCCUACAGUGGAAAAUAAUUUCCUCCCAGCUUUCCCAAGAUGCCAAAGAUGCAUUCAGAGCUAAAUUCCAGGUACGCACCAGCCUCGAGAGGCCAAGUUGCCAGGAGCUGAUGUGCUGCUGAUCUGCUGCAUGUGUCUGGCAAGAGAACAGGGUGCCACUGUUAGAUGUGGUGCAUCCAUUGCCUUUAACCAACACUGGAAACUGGGUACACACCUGCAAAGGACAGUUUAGCAAUCCAACCUGUGCCCACAGUGCCCUGCUGCUGAUUUGGUGCAGCUUAUACUUCUAAAAUCAAAACUAAAUGCUUUGUCACAAGUUGUAAUUGGAAAUUUUAGGCCUCCUAGUGGACUGCAGUGGACCAGGACUUAACUGGAGCAGCAGUUUGUUUUAUGGCUUACUGUAAUUGUUACCGGCCCCUGGGAAUAUUCUGUAUAAUACUGGAGAUGCAAGUGUAAGAAAAAGUGUCACUGCAAUGAUGAUUUGUCUGUGCAGCAAACUUGUGCUGAGUGCUGUAAAUACAUUCAUGUUUACUGCUUUAAAAAGAAAAUUGCACAUUUUAUCUUUUAAUGGGAUUGCCUCCCCUCUUCUUCCCUUUCCAAAAAGAAAAAUCAAAGCUCUUUUAGACUGAUAGUUUCAGGUUGGGGGGAGCUUUGCCAUAUUAUAAAUAUAUAUAAAUAUAUGUAUAAAUAUACUUUUUUAAGCAUGAGAGAGGACAAAAGAAAUACUACAUUAUAGAAUACCCAAUAUAGAUCAUUAUACAAUGGAAUAUGCACAAUUCAAUAAAGAUGUAGUUAAAUUUAAUAACCUGUUUUAA
ensembl:lncRNA